rnacentral:rRNA from 1 species
UGGGGAAUUUUGCACAAUGGGGGAAACCCUGAUGCAGCGACGCCGCGUGAUUUAGAAGGCCUUCGGGUUGUAAAAAUCUUUUCUAUGGGAAGAAAAUGACAGUACCAUAGGAAUAAGGACCGGCUAAUUACGUGCCAGCAGCCGCGGUAAUACGUAAGGUCCGAGCGUUGUCCGGAAUCAUUGGGCGUAAAGGGUACGUAGGCGGGUAAGCAAGUUAGAAGUGAAAUCCUAUAGCUCAACCAUAGUAAGCUUUUAAAACUGCUCAUCUUGAGGUAUGGAAGGGAAAGUGGAAUUCCUAGUGUAGCGGUGAAAUGCGCAGAUAUUAGGAGGAAUACCGGUGGCGAAGGCGACUUUCUGGCCAUAACCUGACGCUGAGGUACGAAAGCGUGGGUAGUAAACAGG